GGGCGCGUAGCUCAGCGGUAGAGCACCUCGUUCACAUCGAGGGGGUCACAGGUUCGAUCCCUGUCGCGCCCACCA
rnacentral:tRNA from 1 species